CCCGCUGAACUUAAGCAUAUCAAUAAGCGGAGGAAAAGAAACUAACAAGGAUUCCCCUAGUAACUGCGAGUGAAGCGGGAAAAGCUCAAAUUUAAAAUCUGGCGGUCUUUCGGCCGUCCGAGUUGUAAUCUGGAGAAGCGUUUAUCCGCGUUGCACCGUGUACAAGUCUUCUGGAAGGGAGCGUCAUAGAGGGUGAGAAUCCCGUCUUUGACACGGAUUACCAAUGCUUUUGUGAUGCGCUCUCGAAGAGUCGAGUUGUUUGGGAAUGCAGCUCAAAAUGGGUGGUAAAUUCCAUCUAAAGCUAAAUAUUGACGAGAGACCGAUAGCGAACAAGUACCGUGAGGAAAAGAUGAAAAGCACUUUGGAAAGAGAGUUAAACACGUACGUGAAAUUGUUGAAAGGGAAACGUUUGAAUUCAGUCGCUUCGGCCGAGAUUCAUCCUUGCUUCCUCUCGGUGCACUUCUCGGUUGACGGGUCAGCAUCAAUUUCGACCGCCGGAUAAAGGUUGAGGGAACGUGACAUCUUUCGAGGUGUGUUUAUAGCCCUCGAUUCGCAUACGGCGAUUGGGAUUGAGGAACUCAGCGCGCCUUUAUGGUCGGGGUAGCAACCCACGUAACGCGCUCAGGAUGCUGGCAUAAUGGCUUUAAGCGACCCGUCUUGAAACACGG
rnacentral:rRNA from 1 species